rnacentral:rRNA from 1 species
UACGUAGGGUCCGAGCGUUGUCCGGAAUUACUGGGCGUAAAGCGUGCGCAGGCGGUUGGUUAAGACAGGUGUGAAAUCCCCGAGCUCAACUUGGGAACUGCGUCCGAUACUGGCAGGCUUGAAUCCGGGAGAGGGAUGUGGAAUUCCAGGUGUAGCGGUGAAAUGCGUAGAUAUCUGGAGGAACACCGGUGGCGAAGGCGGCGAUCCUGGACCGGUAUUGACGCUGAGGCGCGAAAGCUAGGGGAGCAAACGGG